GUGCCCGCUUCAGCAGCACAUAUAGUAAAACUGGACCAAUAUAAAGAGGAUCAGAACAGUGUCUGCCAGAGGGUAACAUGGAAAUUCUCAAAGUGCUCCAGAUUUAU
rnacentral:snRNA from 1 species